rnacentral:misc_RNA from 1 species
GAGAGAGAGAGAGAGAGAGCGUGGCAGUCUUUGUGUUGUUCAAAGCAACGCAAUAUCGGCGCAAGAGAAGAAGAAAGGUAUUCCAGAAUUCACAUGGAGGAAGAGAAGGCAAAGAGUGCAGAGCCACCAGAAAACAGACCAGUUCGAGUAUAUGCUGAUGGCAUCUACGAUCUCUUCCACUUUGGUCACGCCCGGUCUCUCGAGCAAGCCAAGAAGCUGUUUCCCAACACUUACCUGUUAGUUGGGUGCUGCAAUGAUGAAAUCACUCACAAGUAUAAGGGUAAAACUGUCAUGACUGACAAGGAGCGAUACGAGUCUCUUCGCCAUUGCAGGUGGGUCGAUGAAGUGAUCCCUGAUGCACCAUGGGUGCUUACACAAGAGUUCCUUGACAAACAUCAGAUUGACUAUGUGGCCCAUGACUCUCUUCCUUAUGCUGAUACAAGUGGGGCAGGAAAGGAUGUCUAUGAAUUUGUGAAGUCUAUUGGAAAAUUUAAGGAAACAAAACGAACUGAUGGGAUCUCAACAUCAGAUAUCAUAAUGAGGAUUGUCAAAGAUUACAACGAGUAUGUAAUGCGUAAUCUGGCACGUGGGUAUACAAGAAAGGAUUUGGGCGUUAGCUAUGUGAAGGAAAAGCGGCUCAGAGCGCACAUGGGACUUAAAAAGUUGGGUGAGAGAGUGAAAAAGCAGCAAGAGAAAGUGGGGGAAAAGAUACAAACAGUAGCAAAAACCGCUCGUGUGCAUCGAAAUGAAUGGGUGGAGAAUGCUGAUCGACUGGUUGCUGGAUUUCUUGAGAUGUUUGAAGAAGGUUGCCAUAAAAUG